UACGAAGGGGGCGAGCGUUGUUCGGAUUUACUGGGCGUAAAGGGCGCGCAGGCGGCUUUGUUUGUCAGGCGUGAAAGCCCCGGGCUUAACCUGGGAACUGCGUUUGAUACGGCAGGGCUAGAGUUCGGGAGAGGAGAGUGGAAUUCCCAGUGUAGAGGUGAAAUUCGUAGAUAUUGGGAAGAACACCGGUGGCGAAGGCGGCUCUCUGGACCGAUACUGACGCUGAGGCGCGAAAGCGUGGGUAGCAAACAGG
rnacentral:rRNA from 1 species